UUUAUAGUGAAAUCUCUAAAAGGUCUUUUAUAUAGGAAUGGAGGGAGUAUAUUAGAGAAUGUUUAGUGGUCAGUUAUGGAUUGCUGAUAUUCCUAUCAUGUGAACUACCCUGUUUUGGUCACAUGCCAUAGGUCAUGCAGAAACACUCCAGAUUUUUUUGUUCUGUAUGUAUAAUAUAUCUGAACUCUUGUUUUUCUUUCUUUGAUACUGGAUCAUUUUGUGUUGUUUCAGAAAUCUUACUUUUCUGCUUAAUUCCUUCUGUUUCUUUUAACUCUGAAAUCUUUAUUGCUUUUACCUCGAGUUCGCAGCAGUUGGCUAUUCUUGAUAUAGAUGUUAGAAAUAGCUAAUCGACUGAAUGUGUCUUUUGAAAUACAUAGUACUCCGUAUUAGAUAACAACUAGAUGAUACGAGACUCACAAUUUUUUUUCUCAAAAAAAUUGGGCAGUUAUGGGGAGCUUGUAUGAUAUUUCUGAGAAUGGUUUCUGUUUUAUGCUAUAUAUAUUUUGUGUUAUAUUUUUUCUUGCUUCAACAAGCUGAAGACUUGCCUAACUGUAUAAUUGAGGUGCUUGCCGAAAUCCCUCAAGUAAGCUGCUAGAUUUACCCUCAGGGUUAUCUUCUUUGAGAUGUCUUGAAAGCCUUGAUUUGUCAAACAACCCCCUAUCACUUAAACUCGUUUCUAUGCUCACACUAAUCUUCAGGUGUACUCUGAUCAGAAUUUCUGCUUUCCACUUUAAUUAUUUGCUAUGUUUUGAUCAUGGCGACAUAUUUCACAUUGUCUUUGACAGUGUUGGUUCUGAUCAUAUCAUCCAUGGCUCAGUUUAUAUAUGUUAUCUGCCGUUUUGGUGCUUAUUCUAUGGCAUUCAUUCACUUAUGAAACCCAACAUUCAUUAUUUGUCUCACCUAAUUGAUUAACUUGGAGAGAGAUGGGUGUGUUACUAACCUUUGGAGAAACGCUUUCCUGGAAGAUGCUUUCUUUGUACCAGGAAGGAAGGAAUUACUGGUGUUGUAUUAUUUAUUUACUUGUUCAGGGGCAUGUGCAGCUGCUGCUCCUGGCUGUAGGUGAACAUAUGGCAAACUGAUAAUGCCAGACCCCAUAUUGGUUCAUCACAUAAGCCAGAACUGAAUUCUAUUAGGAGUAUUUGUAUAAACUGGUUGCAUCGUGUGUUGUGUUGUCUGUGGUUGCAGGCAUUAUCAGAUCAGGGUGGUCUUGUGUGGUGAGCGAACCAUGUCCUUUGACGGCAACCGGAUUGGCACUCUGGUCAAGACCCUACUAAGGUUACUGCAGUCAUGACCAUAAUUGAGACUUCAGGAUAAAAGUCCCUGUGGUCGAGAGCAUCCCGUUUUCAAACAAAAGUGCUACCGCAACGGGUGCCUAGGUUAAGACUGUCAUUGAGUUUACUUCGUCAGGACAUCUUCAAAUAGGAGGUGGGACCCACAUGUUGUAUUUCCCCCUGAUUUUUCCCUUUUUGGCGCCUAGACUGCAGGGUAGUCAGUUUGCCAUCACCAUGAUUAAGCUUUGCCCUUCACAAUGGUUGUGGCAUUCAUCUUGCCCCUGUUCAAGGAAAUUUACUUCAGCAGGCAGGCAUCUGGUUUAAUA